rnacentral:rRNA from 1 species
UACGUAGGGCGCAAGCGUUGUCCGGAAUUAUUGGGCGUAAAGAGCUCGUAGGCGGCCUGUUGCGUCCGCUGUGAAAACCCGGGGCUUAACCCCGGGCUUGCAGUGGAUACGGGCAGGCUGGAGGCAGGCAGGGGAGAACGGAAUUCCCGGUGUAGCGGUGAAAUGCGUAGAUAUCAGGAGGAACACCGGUGGCGAAGGCGGGUCUCUGGGCCGACACUGACGCUGAGGAGCGAAAGCGUGGGGAGCGAACAGG